rnacentral:pre_miRNA from 13 species
CCUGAACCUGGCAUACAAUGUAGAUUUCUGUGUGCUUGGAUUCUACAGCUACAUUGUCUGCUGGGUUUCGG